GCCAUUAUACAGACUGUUAUAGAGGACCCCCACAUCCGCAAUGUAUUGAUGUUCCCACCUGGCACUGACCUGCACAUACAGCCAUUAUACAUGAGUGGCUCUAUAAUUCUGCAGGAUAAGGCUAGCUGUUUUCCUGCCCAUGUGCUAUCCCCACUCCCUGGCUCCAUGUUGAUAGACUGCUGUGCUGCCCCGGGCAACAAAACCACACACCUGGCAGCCAUACUAAACAACAAAGGCUGCAAGUGAAGGAGACAGGGAACAGAAAAAAAGGUCACGAAAACGAGAAGCGGAAAGUAAUGAGAAAAGGAAACAGGAGCAGAAAACGUAAGGAAAGCAAUAAAAAUCCAUCAGAUAAUGUAGUCAAUUUGUUUGCAGUUUAUUGUCACUAUGUUACGUAGGUAAAAAGGUUGACCAUAACUCUAACUAUAAUUUUU